rnacentral:lncRNA from 1 species
CUUGCCUCUGUGACCCUGACGCUGGCAUGUGCCCAUGUCUGCCCGGCGUCACAGGCCGGACCUGUGACCAUUGUGCUGAUGGAUACUGGAAUCUGCUCCCUGGCAGAGCAUGUCAGCCAUGCGAUUGUGACCCCUGGACCUCGCUCAGCAGCCGCUGUGACCAGGGGAGAACUCUCAGAACCGUAGAGGAGAAGAAUGUGGCCCAUUUCCUAUUAUGUAUUUUGCUUUCAUUUACAUCUGUGGCCGUUUACCAGUUUGGGGCCACCUGUCCCUGAACAGCUGGAAGCAGGCGGUAUAUUCAAGAGCCCUCAGCCAAAACGCAUUAACUCUUGAUCCUUGGUGUUGUCGGGGGUGGUUGCUGCCAUGGGAAUCCUCCUCCUGCCUCUGCACAGCUCUUACAGGCCAGUGUCCGUGUAGAUUAGGCUAUGAUGGGAAACGCUGCUCUGAGUGUGAGGAAUCAUUAUGAGGAUCCCCUAGGGCAAUGCAUUCUGGUGCAAGGGUUAAUUAGGCUGGCUGCUAACAUGGAAGAUAAAAGAGAGACCCUGCCUGUCUGUGAGGCCGACUUCAAAGGCCUCAGAGAAAACAUGUCUGAAAUAGAAAGGAU